rnacentral:tRNA from 2 species
GGAAGGGUGCGAGAGUGGUUUAAUCGGCACGCUUGGAGAGCGUGUGUGGGCGCAAGCUCACCGAGGGUUCGAAUCCCUCCCCUUCCGCUA